GGACCCGCACUAGCGGUGGAGCAUGUGGUUUAAUUCGAUGAAACGCGAAGAACCUUACCUGGUCUUGACAUGCUGCGAACUUUCUAGAGAUAGAUUGGUGCCUUCGGGAACGCUGUGACAGGUGCUGCACGGCUGUCGUCAGCUCGUGUUGUGAAAUGUUUGGUUAAGUCCCGCAACGAGCGCAACCACUAUUGAUAGUUACCAUCAUUAAGUUGGGUACUCUAUUAAGAC
rnacentral:rRNA from 1 species